GGGAGUAGAGUAUGUGUAUCUAACUUUUAAAGUCUAAUAUAAAUGGUAUAUUUCUUUUCUUAGGCAAUUCAAGGACUUUAAAAACUUUAACAUUAAUUAUAUGUCUCUGACUUAGAUAUUAGUGUUGUUAAGAACUUUAAUUCUAUAUAUCAUACCCUGCUACCCAUUAUUUUUGUUGUAUGCAGUCAAUAUUCAUUUAGACUUGAACACAUAUUUACCCUUUGUGGAGGCUGUUAUUUCUUCAUAGAUGCCUGAGCCUCCAUCAGAACAUUUUUCUUUUGCCUUUAAUAUAGAUUUAUUGAUGGUAAAUGCACUGCUUUUAUCUGAAAAUGUCUUUAUUUUAAAUUAAUUUUUAAAUAAUGAUUUCAUUGGAUAUAGAUUUAUAGAUCAUUUAUUUUAAUUACUUUGAAAAAUAUUAUUUCAUUGUUUUGUGGCUUAUAUGAGUCCAUUCUCAUGCUGCUAUAAAGAACUGCCAGCAAUCAUUCUCAUUAAGAUGAGAGACCUCUGGACCUAAUGUAGAUUGUAGAUCAGAAGAUCCUAAACUUUGAGCCUAAUGCUGUGAUUAGGUGCGACUUUUGAGAAUUGAUGGAUGGGAGUGGGCAUAUAUUGCAUUUGGGAGGAACAUGAAUAGUCAUUGCCUGUCGGGCAGACUGUGUUAUGUUGCAUUUUUAUCUCCAAUCUUUCAUUCCUACUGUAUUCCUGUCCUUUGCCAUUUGACUUUAUUGUUUCUACUACUAAAGAGGUGGAGUAUAUUUUCUCCACUCUGUGACUUUGAGUUUGGUCAUGUGGCUUUCUUUGGCCAAUAAAGGAAAAAUGACGGUGUGCCAGUUCCAAGCCUAGAACUGAUGAGGUCUUGUAUGUCUCACCUGCUCUCUUGUACUUCUGACAUAGACAUUAAAAGAUCACACACAUACACACAAAGCUCCCUUGGCUAGCUGCUGGUCCCACAAGGAAGAUGAGAAACAAGUGAAGCAGAGAUGUCUCGGCCAAGGUGCUAAGCCAAACCCAGCCAGAGCAGUCCAGCUAAGAAUAGACACACCAUUAUAUGCCACUAAGAUUUUUUGUAGCCUUUUUACUAUGCAGAAAUAGGUAAACUUCUUGACCAAUCUCUAUCCCAGCUGUUGUGGUUUAGAGCUUCAUCAUACCUUACUGAGAUUUUUCCAAGAGCCUGCUAACUAGAUUUUCUAUUUUCCCCUUUACCUUCUUGUCUGUUGUGUACACUCUACUAGAGUUGUCUUCUUCAAAUGCAAAUGUAAUUAUCCACAAGAAACAUCCAUGGUCCUUGGUAUAUGGCCUCCUGAUCCUUCCUUGAAAAUGUAUCUCUUACUAUUCCACAUACCCUGCACUCUCAUAUUCCAGUCUCAGGUUCCAGAGGAGGUCAUACUUGUUCGUGUCUCCGAGCCAUCACCUUCACUAUUUUCUCUGCCUGGAAAACUCUACAAAUCCUUUAGGACACUUCUUACAUGUCAUCUCUUUUGUGAUAUUUUUACUUGACCUAAAGGCAAUCAUGCUGUCUUCUUUGCACCCAAACAUUUAUUUUCUACUAUUAUUAUAGUUCUUAUAGAAUUGGGGUGAUUUGUCUCACUGGGCAGGGGCUGUCUCUGAAUUCUAUGUGUACAAUGUCUAGUAUGAUGCUUUGACCUCUGCUGAGGUGCAAUAUUAUCUCAUAUAGAUCUAAUUUUAUCAAUUAUUGAAUAAUGUUGAACAUAUGUAAAGAUUGUUGUAAAUUAUUGAUUUCUGUGCAGUGUAUAUGGUAUUCUUGAUAAACCUGAAAUUUGAUUAAUCAUAAUCCUUCCUUUAUGCAUCAAAUAAUAGCAUUUGUAGUAGUAGAAUAAAUUAUGAAUGUAGAAAAAUGACAACAAUAUUUGAAGAUAGUUGACAUGCCCUCGAUGUGUAGAUAUUGUGAUGUGUAGAUAUAUUGAAGUGAAAUCUGACAACCAGCACGCUUAAAAUUAAAAUGUCAAAAAUCAAUUAUGCCUCGCUUUGCAUUCAGACAAAUUGAACUUUUCAAAAUUUAUUUGAAGCACAUCUUAUGUCAAAAGACACCUACUCUAUUUUUUGAAUACUAGUAAAAUGAGAAAACAUUUUAUGUCUCAUUUUAAAAAAGAUCAUCAUACUAAACUUUAUCUGCCAAAAUGAGACUGAAGAAUAUCAGAAUGUCUAAAUAUUGCUGUAGUGAUUGAACUCUCUUUUACAAAGUUGACAAAGAACAAAGUUGUCUAAAUUUAAUAGUAGAAAAUUGCUGGAACAUCUGCCACACAAAGGACCUUGUUUAAAAGAAGCCUGGGGAUAUAGAUGCGAGCAGAUCAGAACGAGUUUUGUAUGACAUGGGUAAGUUUAGACUUUAUCUACUAAGCAGAGGCACAUUUGCUUGUACAUUACAGCAUGAGGAGAACAGCUAUCUCUAUCCUCACUCUUCUUGUUAGAAGAUAUGCAGAUUCUUAAAUAGGGCCACCACCUUCAACUUUGUUAGGUAAACGUAGCUGACACUCAUUUUGUAUUUCAGGCUUGGCUUUUUAAGUUUGAAAGGAGAAUAGCAUAUCCUCUGAGUACGGGGAUAAAAUGAUUUUGGUAGGUGAGUAGUAUAUCUGAGAUUUGUGAGGUUGGCUUUGUUGGAGUUUCUCUCAAGAUUAAUGGUAGGUAAUAUUCAAAAGCAUUUUCCCCUAGUUUGGGCAGUGCCUGCAGGAGAUUCUAUUUCAACCUAUGCUUCAGUAGACAUGUUUCAACUGACAGGGCCCUCUUUUGUUCCCUCACCUUCAUCUUUCAUCAUUCGUUUAUUCAUUCAUUCAUUUAGUGGACAGUAGUCACCACCUGUGUGCUAAACACUGAGGAUCAUACCGAAAAGCAUGCUCAUUGAGUACAGAAGACAGAUAUAUCAAUAAAAUAAAAACAUGCUAGGAGCAGAGAAUGAAUAUACACACAGGGUGUCAUGGAGGCAGCAGAGAGGGAUAUUACAUGCAACCCGAAAAGGCAGAGUGAUAUCUGAGAAGGCUUUAUAGAGGUAGUAGGAGGUAAAAUAGAAGGUAAAAGAUGUGAGCCGAGGAUUAGAGAUGAGUAGAAAUAGGCCUGGUGAAGAGGGAGAGGAAGGAGGCUGCUAUUUCCAGAGAGGAGGCUGGAGAUGUCACGCACAGGAUCUGCAAGAGGCAGGAGGACAGGAUAUAGGUUGCAGAGAUGAACCAGGUCAGAUCACCAGCAGCCUUUGGUGCAGGCCAAGGCACUAGGAUUCCUUUCUGAGGACAAACAGGAACCAAUCUAAGGUUUUAAGCAGAUUGUAACAUGAUCAAAUUUAGAUAAUUCUGACCACAGUGAGGAGAAUGGAUUUGAAAGGAAUUAAACCAAGGGCAGGGAGGAGAUUGUUCGAUAGUCCAGGUAAGAAAUGGGCCUGAACCAGCAAAAGAAUGGAGCAAAUGUUUAGAAGGUAAAAUAAGCAGACCUUGAUUAAAUAUAGUGGAUAAAUAUAGUAAAUAAACUGAAAUGCAUCUAGAAGCUACCUGUUAAGCAACAGGUGGUCUAUGGGGUUUGAGAAGUCACUUUUAUGCUUAAUAAUUUUCCCACUGGCUCUAGUUUUCAGAGUUUUAAGCAUUAAAGAUAUGUACAGGAAUAACAGCUUCCAAAAUCUAUCGAGCUGUCCUCUCCUUUAUGAACCUGAAGUGAGUUGUUAUGACUUGUUUUUGACUACUGACUCAUCUUUUAGUUUGGGGGUUAAACUAUAACAUGGUUGGAGAGGAUUAGCUUUCUUUUCUACUGUUGCAUCUGUUUGUCUGGUACUUUAUUUCAGAAUUUCAAUGCCAUUUUUCAUAAGCAAUCUAGGUUUCAAAUUACCCUUGCCAGGUUUUUGUACAGGGAGUAUUAGCUUCUUAACAAAAUUAUCUUAAACAAUAAAUGUUUAUCAAGUCCAGAGUAUUAAGUCUAAUUAUCUUAAACAAUAAAUGUUUAUCAAGUCUAGAAAGGAAUGUUAUAAUGUUAUGAAAGAUGAAAAGAAUGUCAUACAGUUAUAAGGAAUGUUACAAACUUAUGAUGUUAUAAAAUAAAUGUAUGUAAACAUAUGUGUUUAUUAUCUACUUGUGAAUGCAUUUUGUAAUCAAGACGAGCAAUAUAACCUGAAACAUAAUAUUUUCAUUUAAAAUUAUCAUAGAGGUUCUGAAUCCCUUCUUUGCUCUUAUUAUAUAUAAAUUGAUCAUAUCAGUCAUAGCAAUGAUUUAUUUGAUACUGGGUCAUCAACUCCCUAUUAUAAAAUUAUUCAUAUGAGAAGAUACUGACUCAGAUUGCAAAGGGAAGGACCACACUGUGAUAAAAACAGGCUGUUGACUAUUUUGUGUGCCAUCGUGUGUUGUGCAGUAAAUGUGCUCUCCUAUUUGUUUCAUUAUGGCUGUGUUUUGAUCCCUAAAGCUGCUAUGUUUCUGAUUUGUUUUUUUCUUUAUCUGAGAGCAACUGGUUCAUUAAAAUCCAACAACAACAAAAAGAAAAAAACCUGCUAAGAAUGUGUCUGAAAAACGAUAACCAAAAGUUACACAUCCCACUGUAAAGUGAAGCACGUCAAGGAUCUCCCUGUGUGGUCCAGGCUGGAGUGCCGAGGUCCGAACACAGCUCACAGCAGCCUCGACCUUUUGGGUUGAAGUAAUUCUUACACCUCAGCCUCCCAAGUAGCUGGGAUCAAAGACAUGUGCUGCUAUGCCCGGCUAAUUUCUUAAUUUUUUGCAGAAACAGGGUCUCACCAUUUUGCUAAGGCUGAUCUCGAACUCCUGGACUCAGGCAAUCCUCCCCCCUCAGCCUCCCAAAGUGCAGGGAUUCCAGAUGUGAGCCACCGUGCUCAGCCAGCACCAUGACACUUUUGAUAGGAUCCGUGCAGCAUCCUGUAAUCAGAAACAUUAAUUGUUCAGCAACAAAACAUAGGAAUAGUGACAUUAAGUGGGAUAAAGAUUCCUCAUGUU